UAAUGGCUCACCAAGGCGACGAUCCCUAGCUGGUCUGAGAGGAUGAUCAGCCACACUGGAACUGAGACACGGUCCAGACUCCUACGGGAGGCAGCAGUGGGGAAUAUUGCACAAUGGGCGCAAGCCUGAUGCAGCCAUGCCGCGUGUGUGAAGAAGGCCUUCGGGUUGUAAAGCACUUUCAGUCGUGAGGAAGGUAGUGUAGUUAAUAGCUGCAUUACUUGACGUUAGCGACAGAAGAAGCACCGGCUAACUCCGUGCCAGCAGCCGCGGUAAUACGGAGGGUGCGAGCGUUAAUCGGAAUUACUGGGCGUAAAGCGCAUGCAGGUGGUUUGUUAAGUCAGAUGUGAAAGCCCGGGGCUCAACCUCGGAAUAGCAUUUGAAACUGGCAGACUAGAGUACUGUAGAGGGGGGUAGAAUUUCAG
rnacentral:rRNA from 1 species